CUAUGGAACUGCCUUUGAUACUGAUAGACUUGAGUUAUUGUGAAGUGGUUAGAAUGUGUAGUGUAGCGGUGAAAUGCAUAGAUAUUACACAGAAUACCGAUUGCGAAGGCAGAUCACUAACAAUAUACUGACACUGAGGGACGAAAGCGUGGGUAGCGAACAGGAUUAGAUACCCUGGUAGUCCACGCCGUAAACGAUGGUCACUAGCUGUUUGACCAACAUUGGUUGGUUGAGUGGCUAAGCGAAAGUGAUAAGUGACCCACCUGGGGAGUACGCUCGCAAGAGUGAAACUCAAAGGAAUGGACGGGGGCCCGCACAAGCGGUGGAGCAUGUGGUUUAAUUCGAUGAUACGCGAGGAACCUUACCAGGGCUUAAAUGUAAGUUGCAUGGACCAGAGAUGGACCUUUCUUCGGACUACUUACAAGGUGCUGCAUGGUUGUCGUCAGCUCGUGCCGUGAGGUGUCAGGUUAAGUCCUAUAACGAGCGCAACCCCUAUCGU
rnacentral:rRNA from 1 species